rnacentral:rRNA from 1 species
AGAGGGGGGGGGGGGGAGCUGCGCGGCCUAAUCAUGCAAGUCGAGCGAAUGGAUUAAGAGCUUGCUCUUAUGAAGUUAGCGGCGGACGGGUGAGUAACACGUGGGUAACCUGCCCAUAAGACUGGGAUAACUCCGGGAAACCGGGGCUAAUACCGGAUAACAUUUUGAACCGCAUGGUUCGAAAUUGAAAGGCGGCUUCAGCUGUCACUUAUGGAUGGACCCGCGUCGCAUUAGCUAGUUGGUGAGGUAACGGCUCACCAAGGCAACGAUGCGUAGCCGACCUGAAAGGGUGAUCGGCCACACUGGGACUGAGACAGGGCCC